CCUACGGGAGGCAGCAGUGGGGGAUAUUGCACAAUGGGGGGAACCCUGAUGCAGCGACGCCGCGUGGGUGAAGGAGUCUUUCUGUAUGUAAAGCCCUAUCGGCAGGGGAGGAAUUGGCCGUUACCUGACUAAGAAGCCCCGGCUAACUGCGUGCCAGCAGCCUAGGUCAUACGGAGGGGGCCAGCGUUAUCCGGAUUCACUGGGUGUAAAGGGAGCGUAGACGGCCAUGCAAGCCAGGGGUGAAAGCCCGGGGCCCAACCCCGGGACUGCCCUUGGAACUGCAUGGCUGGAGAGCGGGAGGGGCAGGCGGAAUUCCUGGUGUAGCGGUGAAAUGCGUAGAUAUCAGGAGGAACACCGGCGGCGAAGGCGGCCUGCUGGACCGCGACUGACGUUGAGGCUCGAAAGCGUGGGGAGCGAACAGGAUUAGAUACCCCAGUAGUC
rnacentral:rRNA from 1 species